rnacentral:lncRNA from 1 species
UGGCUUCGAGGACACCACGGUGGCGAUCGGUCAUUUUUGCAAGCACCACCAUCGACCACCACCCUUGUUUGACUCCCCUUGACGUCUAGAUCAAACCCCAAACAAGUUUGGGGGCGGCAGAGCAUUAGAGGAGACGGAUCGAUAACCACCCAUUUUAAGGGUUUUUUACGGUUUAAAGGAUGUUCAGGUCACUUUCCGCCCGAAUUGGACUUCGGCCCAGGUAUGAAAGUUGUUCCUUUCAUUGAGAUCUUCAUUGCUGUAAAAUUUGAGAAUUUUUGGAGUUGUUGAAUUUUUCGACGAGUCGGGGCUGCUGGUCGCCGCGCAUGCAGUGGCGCGUGGCCUUCCAAGUUUGAUGAGAUUAUAGGAUUGAUGAGAUUUAUGGAUUUUGUUUCGGGCAAUGAUUGCACCAUUAUUGAGCAUGGUUUUACUCAUACUUGUUUUACGAAUGAUUUCUUGGCAUGUUAGGGUUUUCAGAAAAACCUAUUAUGUAGUAUAAUAUAUGUUUUCAAAACAGGGGGUUAGUAUGUUUAUAAAUAAAAUGGUUUCCUUAUUAUUAGUAUUAUUAUUAUAAACUUUGGUCCACUCACCUUUUCGGUUUUGUGCCCCCUUAAGAGUUAGAAUCGAGGCAGACUUUCCUGGCGUUAGGGCAAUUUCGCGUAGGGAUCUUUGAGGUUUCUCUACGUGGUACCCAUUCCUUGGUUCAUAUUUUUUUUAUCAUCGUCCUUUCACAUUAUUCUUAAUUAGUUGUAUGCUUUGAACACAUUCCUACAUUAGUAUAUUUCUUUCUAAUUACAUAUUUUAAUUUACAUACAUGUUUAAAAUGGUUUCAUCACCCUUAGGUGUCGGCCAGCACGUGCCUAUCCUGGUAUUUGGGGAUAUUGGGAUCAGGUUGUGUGAGAAAGGAUGAGAGAUAAACUCAUUUUCUCAUCUUCUUCAACAUCAGAACUAGCAAACUCAAAAAUUCCAUAACACACUGCACUCAUCCUUUCUCAAGUUUUAAAAUAGAAAAAAAUUUGAAAUUCUAGACCGCCUAAUCCAACCAGUCAGCUGCCUAGGCCGCCUAAGGUUCACCCAGGCUGCCUCAGCGCUCGCCUAAUCCCUUCCCUGAUUUUUCUCCCAAUUAAGAGUUAAUCCUGGUGGCUGGCCAUUGCCCAGCAUUUAAACCAAUUUUUAGAACAUUGAUAUUUGGUAAGGAUCAGGCGAAAACCAAUACAAGAAUAGUGGUGGGAACAUAGUGAGUACCAAUGCCUUGUAUAUGUGACAAGGUUUCUAUAUUUUCCUGCUGACCAUAUAUGCUAAUUUCUUCUCGGUUGCAUUUGGGUCCUGAAGACUCAAAUAUAGCUAACCUAGAAAAGUGACACCAACAUAAAUAUUUAAAAAAUUAGUUGAAAUAAUGAGUUAUAAAUCUUAAUUUUUGAAAUGAUCUCCAUUUUUUUUUUCAUAUUUGAUCAAUACGUAGCUAAUUUUUAAUUUUAAUCAGUUUAAGAAUUGGAUGUUAUAAAGCUUUAUCUAUACUGUAUAAAUCUACUAAACUUUAUUCUUAUAUAUGUAUACUUCAAAGUAAACUCUUGCUGGAUUUGUGCUUGAUAAUAAAUGGUGGAUAUAUGAUGUUUUCAGAUAAAAUCACAUAGUCCGCUUUGUACCUUUGGUUGAUGAAUUGUUUCAAGUUUUGCGUUUUCAAUUUUCUAUCCUUUUUUCUGGCAAGGCUUUUUACAAUGUGGACUUCAAUUGAUGGAGUAUCACUUCUAUGUUGAUAUAAUUUCUUUUGUGGCAGAUGAUAUGAAGAAGUGGAAUGAUAAACUGAUGGAAUGGGAAUUUUGCUGCUAAGACAAGAAUGGUAAAUUAGUUUUAUAUACACAUAAUGCAUGUAAAUAGAAAAAAAAACCUACAUUUUUUCUAUGUGGACUUUUAUCGAUUAAAUAUUUGGUAUGUAAAUUUUUUCUAAUGUUUUGAUGUAAAUAGUAAUAAUCUUCUAUCACACAACCUUUCAUAUAAUUUUUAAUCCUUUGACAACGCAUGAACAUCAUUUUCUAGUUCUUCACUAUUACGCAAAAGGCCUGAAACUGCGUUUUAAUACUAAUGACUACACCAACAAUUUCAACACUCUAAGAACUUGGAUUGGAUUGUUUUAAGAGGUAUGAUUCUCUUCCCUCCUAUUUCCAUCCCUUUUCAUCCCCUCUUUUCAAACUUUGUUUUUUGUCCUUUUGUCUUUGUAAAAAAAAAUCAAUUUAAGAUAAUGACGUGUCUUAAUUAUAAUCGUUCAAGUAGAAGACGAGGGAGGGAGGGAGAGAGAGAUUAAUGGGACAUAAAUCCUCCUCCUAGUUUCAACUGCGGGAGCGAAACCUCACCGCCAAUAUUGUCUUAGUCAGAAGCCACACCAGAGCUAAACCUUAAAAUGACCGCCAAUAUUGUCUUAGUCAGAAGCCACACCAGAGCUA